GACGGACUUUAUGCUAAUUUUCCUGUCCUCAAAGGAUGAACUUCAUGAGUGCAACUAGACUGUAGAAGAUGGACAAACCACGUGUGGUCAAAGAAUGAACAAGGAGUCUGGAGUGGCUGGAGGAAAAGAUGUAAAUACUACAGGACUGCAUGACUCAUGGCUGGUUGAAUCCAUGGUUGUGGAACUGCGGAUAUGGAGAAAUUGCAUGUGUAUGGAGGGCUGACUAUAAGUUACAACUAUUUUGGACUCCACAAAGGGUCAGUGUCCC